rnacentral:rRNA from 1 species
UACGGGGGGAGCAAGCGUUGUUCGGAUUUACUGGGCGUAAAGGGCGCGUAGGCGGCCACCGCAAGUCGGUUGUGAAAUCUCCGGGCUUAACCCGGAAAGGUCAAUCGGUACUGCGGGGCUAGAGUGCAGAAGGGGCAACUGGAAUUCUCGGUGUAGCGGUGAAAUGCGUAGAUAUCGAGAGGAACACCUGCGGCGAAGGCGGGUUGCUGGGCUGACACUGACGCUGAAGCGCGAAAGCUAGGGGGAGCGAACGGGG